GACGAACGCUGGCGGCGUGCUUAACACAUGCAAGUCGAACGGAAAGGCCCUGCUUUUGUGGGGUGCUCGAGUGGCGAACGGGUGAGUAACACGUGAGUAACCUGCCCUUGACUUUGGGAUAACUUCAGGAAACUGGGGCUAAUACCGGAUAGGAGCUCCUGCUGCAUGGUGGGGGUUGGAAAGUUUCGGCGGUUGGAGAUGGACUCGCGGCUUAUCAGCUUGUUGGUGGGGUAGUGGCUUACCAAGGCUUUGACGGGUAGCCGGCCCGAGAGGGUGACCGGCCACAUUGGGACUGAGAUACGGCCCAGACUCCUACGGGAGGCAGCAGUGGGGAAUAUUGCACAAUGGGCGGAAGCCUGAUGCAGCAACGCCGCGUGCGGGAUGACGGCCUUCGGGUUGUAAACCGCUUUCGCCUGUGACGAAGCGUGAGUGACGGUAAUGGGUAAAGAAGCACCGGCUAACUACGUG
rnacentral:rRNA from 1 species